rnacentral:rRNA from 1 species
GAUUGUUCCGUGUACUUGGGGUGUCGUCGCACCCAGACGUUACUUGAAAAAGUAGAGUGUCCAAGCCAGGCCCUUGACCGAUACAUUAGCAUGGAUAUUAAAAUAGGACGCGCGUACCCAUUUUGUUGGUUUCUGAGAUCGCCGUAAUGAUUAAUAGGGAUAGUGGGGGCAUUGUAUUCCCGUCGUCAGAGGUGAAAUUCCUUGGAUUGCCCGGAAAGACAAACUACUGCGAAAGCAUUUGUCAAAGGAUGUUUUCAUUGAUCAAGAACGAAGGAAGGGGGAUCGAAAACGAUUAGAUACCGUUGUAGUCUCUUCUGUAAACUAUGCCAAUUGGGGAUCGGUACAGGAUUUUUAAUGACUGUAUCGGCACCCGAAGAGAAAUCUUUAAAUGAGGUUCGGGGGGGGAGUAUGGUCGCAAGGCUGAAACUUAAAGGAAUUGACGGAAGGGCACCACCAGGUGUGGAGCCUGCGGCUUAAUUUGACUCAACACGGGGAAACUCACCAGGUCCAGACACAAUAAGGAUUGACAGAUUGAUAGCUCUUUCUUGAUCUUGUGGUUGGUGGUGCAUGGCCGUUCUUAGUUGGUGGAGUGAUUUGUCUGGUUAAUUCCGAUAACGAACGAGACCUUAACCUGCUAAAUAGACCAGCCGGCUUUGGCUAGCUGCUGUCUUCUUAGAGGGACUAUCAGCGUUUAGCUGAUGGAAGUUUGAGGCAAUAACAGGUCUGUGAUGCCCUUAGAUGUUCUGGGCCGCACGCGCGCUACACUGACAGAGCCAGCGAGUCUACCACCUUUGCCGGAAGGCAUGGGUAAUCUUGUGAAACUCUGUCGUGAUGGGGAUAGAACAUUGCAAUUAUUGUUCUUCAACGAGGAAUACCUAGUAAGCGUGAUUCAUCAGAUCGCGUUGAUUACGUCCCUGCCCUUUGUACACACCGCCCGUCGCUACUACCGAUUGAAUGGCUUAGUGAGGCCUCCGGAUUGGCUAUUGGGAGCUCGCGAGAGCACCCGACUGCCGAGAAGUUGUACGAACUUGGUCAUUCAAAGACAGGAAACCAUUCCGGGAGACC